rnacentral:lncRNA from 1 species
GGUAACCAUUUAUUUUACAGAACACACUAGAGGUGUGAUCUCCGAUCGGAACUGCCUGAGAGAAAACAUCAGUGGUCAGUGGUCUUCUUCUUCUUCUUCUAUUUUUGAAUAUGUUUUUACUCUUUUAACUAGUGUACUACACUAUACCAGAGACUUGUGAAGGGUCCAACUAAUAAAAAGCUUUUCCGAUAGAUACCUCCGAUAACCUUAGCUUUGGCCGGCCGGAGGGUCAACGGACCCUCCUGACCCCCUGUGGUUCCGCCCCAGCAUGAUGUGUUGGAAAGCCUAUGUAAAGAUUAUGAUUGAAUGGUAAUUGCUAACAUAAGUUGAAUGAUGAUUUGAACAUGUGUAUGAAUUCUUGCAUUUAGAUUUGGAAAGAUCAAAAGAAUGUUUAUAUGAAUUCUAUAGUUUGUGAUUGUGUUAGUAUGUCGAUUUAGGCCAAGAAUGUUAUCUAGCAUGACCAUGCUUGUGGUUCAUAUCAAGAAUAGAUUGAAGUUAUUACUUACUUAAAAGCAAGUUAGGGUGAUUAGUAAGUUGUUCAUAGUAGUUUUCCCUAAUUUUUAGAGUUAGGAGUUUUGACAAACAAAUAACUCAUGAGUAAAGAUUGACAUCAACUUAGCAAGUGAACUUAAAAAGAAUAAUUUUAGGUGAUUAGAAUGUUAUUUCAUUUUAGUUUUCCUUAGGAUUAUAGAACUAGGAAACCUUGAUUGGGGACCUAGUUAAAUUUAGAUCUUGCAUCAUCACUAGUUCUUCCCCUUUGUUAUCAUAUGUCUGUUAGUGAAUACUUAGUUUAGGUAACCUCCCUUAGAUAUUGUUCCCUUUUAGUUUUGUUAGUAGUUUUUUAUUUUGCAUGAUAAAUUAGAAACAAACUAACCUGUUGAUUGAAAAGGCUUUAAAGUAGCAAAAGUUUAGUAUCGAUGCACCGCGUCCACGGAUUGAUAUCUGGUUCCUACUGAUAAACUAUAUUACCAACCGACGGGUACACUUGCCCGUUUGUGUGUGUAGUUUAGUUCAUAGGUGAAAAUCAUUUUAAAAUAAAAUUUGUGUGAGGAAAAAAUUCAUUUAAAAAUAUACAUAAUUCACGCACAUCAAGUUUUUGGCGCCGUUGCCAGGGACCCGAGUUUUCUUGAGAACGGUUCGAUUUACUUGUUUAGCAAUUGUGAAAAAGUGCACAAAGUUUUUAUCUACUUGUUUUAUUUGCCUUUGCAUGAUUAUUUG